GGACUGUUUGACUACGAUCCUGUGCCACCUGCCCUGACCCAUUGCUCGCCUGACCUCGGCUCUGCUGCAUCCUUCAGUACUGCACCGUUGCUACCGGUUACGGCUCCGCUUGCUUGGCUCUGCUACAUCCUUCAGUCCUGCAGCCUCCUAUUCAAGACUCCAGUGCUUCCUGUGUACAGGCCUUGUCCCUGCCAUUGGAUUCCAGCAGUAUUCCACUAGUAUCGUGACAAAGGAAGGAAACCCUGUCCCCGGUGACAAGAGGACACGUAGGAAGCUGUGGUCUCGUGCUCACCAUGCCAGCACAGGGGAGGAGGAGCCAAGCAGAGUGCAGCGCAUGCGCACAUGAGGAGGAGUAUUAAUGCUCCAUAUUGGAGAAGGGCAGAAUGACCCGGGGAAACGGGGAGAGAUUCUGGAAUUCCUUGGAUUUCUUCAUUCAGUCCCUCCGGUGUCAGAGUCCGCAUCCUGACCCUCCAGAAGUCUUCUCCACCGAUCAGCCGUGCAGACCCAUCUCUACACCUGUUCCUACAUUAUAGGAUCCGCUCAGUGGAGAUCUUCUAUAUAAGAUCCUUCUAAUGAUUGACCCGACAAGGAUGGACAAGGACAAGAUGGCAGAGAGGAUAAUAAAUCUCACCCUAGAGAUCCUCUUCCAGCUUACUGGAGAGGACUACACAGUAGUGAAGAAGACCUCUAGUGGGUGCUGUCAGGACCCUGUGUCUGAAGGACGGAGAAGAACCCUAAGCCCAAUCAUGGAGACUCCACCUCACCCCCUAAUACAUGAGGAAAUCAAUAGAGAGAAGAUCCUAGAACUCACCAACAAGAUGAUUGAGCUGCUGACUGGAGAGGUUCCUAUAAGGUGUCAGGAUGUCACCGUCUAUUUCUCCAUGGAGGAGUGGGAGUAUUUAG